GAGAAGAGUCCCAGUGAUGGAGCUUCUGUUAUAAUUGAAAUUAAAACAGCUUUACAUUUUCCUAGGGUACAGUAUCCUCAUGAAGCAAUUUUCUCAUAGUCAUGGAUUGGAAACAGUUUUCAGCUGUAGACAGUACAACAAACCUACAGGGGCAAGGCAUGGGAAGUUCUCAUUGGACCACUGGGUCCACUUCCUCCUGGGACGAUAAGAUAAUAAUAUGAAAAUGGUUCAGGGAAGAGUGAACAAAUAAAGGAUCGUCCCAAGUGACCUUUUUUUCUGAAGGAGGACAAUGAGAACCGCCAGUCUGUGUCUCCAUGAUGAGAAAUGGAGUUAAUAAACAAAAUGUUGAUAACAGUCUGAUAUAUUUAUUUACAUCUUUAAAAAUAGCCUUAUGCAAGAACUGACAUGGGUAUCUACCACUGAAAGGCUACAUGGAAAUGACAGCACAACACCACAGGAGGCUGAAAAGCUAAGAAGCUCAAACUUAAUAGCUUUGCUCUAAAUUUUCCUGAUAAAAGACCAUGACAGUCUUUUGUAGGACAGGGGAUUAAUUUUACUGAAAUUGAGAUUCAUGAUGAAAAUAUCUAUUUCACACCUCCCAGGAUUCAUUGCAAAAAAAGAAAGCAUGUCAACCCUCCAAAAUGUAUUCAGCUGAGAAUUUGCCUGUCAUUUUGGAAAAAAUAAAAUGAAUACAAAAUUGUAUGACAAUGUAAUCAACUACAAUGUUUACAGUGGAAGUAUAUGCACAAUAGAAAAACACACACAAGUGUAAACACUGAGGAUUAAGCAUCCAGUAAAUGCAUAUGAACUUUCAUGCAUUAAGAAAAAGUAUCUUGUCACCCUCUGUUUGAUACAAAGAUGGGAAAAGAGAGAAAGAACAAAAAGUAAGGAGAAAGAAUACAAUGCAUGUAAGAUUUGUGUAAAUGUAACAAAGCUAAGAGGUUUUUUUGCUCAGAAUAUAGGAAGAGCUCCCAGACCCAAAUGAUGCUUUUAUCUUAAAUUUCUGUUUUUAUUGUCUAAUCCAUGCCUUUGUAAUUGCUGUUUUACAUUUAAUAGAUUUUAAUUGUUGUAAACUGUUCAAAUUGGUACAGAUAAAUUAAAAAGACACAAUAUAAAGCCUUCUGUCCUUUUCCAAAAACAAAAGAUGGAGUGACCAUUAUUAUUUGUUCACGUCUGUCAGAUCAAAGGGAAUCUACUGAAAUUUUCUCUUAGUACUCCUUCCCUAAAAAACCCCCUAUGGAAGUCAUUAGAUUUUCAUCAGUCAACAGAUGACAUGAACGCACGCAUAGACACACAUAUAAGCCAUGUAGGAAGGCAUGCCAUAAUAAUAAUAUUUUUGCGAAGUGAAGUAAAAAGAUAGGAGGGUUAUUUUAACCCUGAAUUUUUAAGGGUUAUUUUACAUAGGUAAGCUAGCUAGAGGGUCUUUAAUGAAACUUUCAGCCAGGUGUAAAAGCAACAUGUUUCCUCUCUGUUGCCUUUUAAAAGCAGUAGCUAAAUAGUUUGUCAUCAAAGUUGGUGUUGGGGUACGCCUGCUCUGAUUUGUAAAUAUCUUCUUAAAAAUGAAACAAGACACACACACACACACACACAAACCAAGACAAUAUACAGGCAGGGAGUAAAUAUACAUUGAUAUUCUUGCCUACUCAAUAGGCAUGUGUGAUCCAUAAAAACAUUGUUCUAAACUGUGUUCAAAAUUAAGAUGCGCUGACACUUCAUUUCAUAUGAAGUUCAGCACAUUAACUGAGUGGGUUUUUAAAAAAACUUCUACCAGAUUUCUCCCUUCUCCCAAUUGUUUGUUCUACCUAUGUCUAUACAGUUUAAAAUAAAGAGAUUCAGAGAAUUCUAAUUGCUCUCCAUUUGUUCUUCCUUUAAAUGAACUGUGUGUCGGUUUCACAGCUCAAUCAGCAGAUCAGCUGUUUCAGGCUUUUAAAACAGUGGACAUGUGCUGGGAAUCAUGUGUUUUUUGUGACAAAGAUGUGAAUACAUGUAU
rnacentral:lncRNA from 1 species